AAUAUAAAAUAGUCACACAUGCAGAGGCCCCUAGAAAGUUCUCCAAUUCUUAGGUGACUGAUGGGCCUUCAGACAUGCCCAGAGUAAGAAGAGUACUUUCUGUGUGUCUGUGAUGGAGUGGCGGGGUGGGCUUAGAUACUCCCAGGAAGCUUGGUCUGGGUGUCUCUAGAGAUAGGAGACAUAAUUAUGUACUACAGGCUUUGGGGUUUGGAUCCCAGGAGGCCACCUGAAUCAUCCUUAUUUCAACUGCAACAGGAAGUUGCAUCUGUAUUCAUCUUAACGUGAU
rnacentral:lncRNA from 1 species